CAUGGAGGGUGAGAAUCCCGUUCAUGGUUAAUUCUAAGAUGCUUUAUGAUGCGUUUUCGAAGAGUCGAGUUGUUUGGGAUUGCAGCUCAAAAUGGGAGGUAAAUUUCUCCUAAGGCUAAAUAUUGGCGAGAGACCGAUAGCGAACAAGUACCGUGAGGGAAAGAUGAAAAGAACUUUGAAAAGAGAGUUAAACAGUACGUGAAAUUGUUGAAAGGGAAACGAUUGAAGUCAGUCGUACCAGCGGGAAAUCAACCUUUCGAGUGGGGUUUUGGGGUUUUGAAGUGUGUCAAAACCUUUGAGAUUUCAAAAUGUUCGCUCCUUUGGUGUACUUUCUCGUAGGUAGGUUAACAUCGAUCUUGAUCAUCAUAAAAAGAUUGGAGGAAUGUAGCUUCGAUCUCGUAUUGAAGUGUUAUAGCCUUUGGUAUAUGUGAUGAUUAGGAUCGAGGAUUGCAACGAAUACCCUUUUGGGCUAUCCGCCUGAUCUCUGACACGUAGCCUUGGUAUUGAAAGCGUGCUUAUGGUAUUAAGGUAUUACGGUCAAAAGGUUAGAACGGAUUACAUUCGUUAAGGAUGUUGACGUAAUGG
rnacentral:rRNA from 1 species